rnacentral:rRNA from 1 species
AUUGAACGCUGGCGGCAGGCCUAACACAUGCAAGUCGAGCGAGCGGCGGACGGGUGAGUAAUGGAUGAGGAUCUGCCCGAUAGAGGGGGAAAACUACUGGAAACGGUGGCUAAUACCGCAUACUAUCGGAUGAACCCAUAUGGGAGUAGCUAGUAGGGGGGGGAAAGGCUCACCAAGGCGAAGAUUCUUACCUGGUCUGAGAGGAUGAUCAGCCACACUGGGACUGAGACACGGCCCAGACUCCUACGGGAGGCAGCAGUGGGGAAUAUUGCACAAUGGGCGAAAGCCUGAUGCAGCCAUGCCGCGUGUAUGAAGAAGGCUUUCGGGUUGUAAAGUUCUUUCGGUAGCGAGGCGUUAUCUACAGAAGAAGCACCGGCUAACUCCGUGCCAGCAGCCGCGGUAAUAC